UCAAAGUGUGAACUAUGCGGUUUUUUGA
rnacentral:sRNA from 1 species